GGAGAGAUGGGUGAGUGGCUGAAACCACCGGUUUGCUAAACCGACGUACGGAGUAAUCCGUACCACGAGUUCGAAUCUCGUUCUCUCCGCCA
rnacentral:tRNA from 1 species